rnacentral:rRNA from 1 species
CGCGAAGAACCUUACCAGCUCUUGACAUCCCCAAGACCCUAGCAGAGAUGCAUGGGGUGCCGCAAGGAACUUGGAGACAGGUGCUGCAUGGCYGUCGUCAGCUCGUGUCGUGAGAUGUUGGGUUAAGUCCCGCAACGAGCGCAACCCUCGGCCUUAGUUGCCACCAUUAAGUUGGGCACUCUAAGGCGACUGCCGGUGAUAAGCCGGAGGAAGGUGGGGACGACGUCAAGUCAUCAUGGCCCUUACGGGCUGGGCUACACACGUGCUACAAUGGCGGUGACAGUGGGCAGCUACACAGCGAUGUGAUGCUAAUCUCAAAAAGCCGCCUCAGUUCAGAUUGCUCUCUGCAACUCGAGAGCAUGAAGUCGGAAUCGCUAGUAAUCGCGGAUCAGCAUGCCGCGGUGAAUACGUUCCCGGGUCUUGUACACACCGCCU